rnacentral:rRNA from 1 species
GAUGAACGCUGGCGGCGUGCCUAAUACAUGCAAGUCGAGCGAACAGACGAGGAGCUUGCUCCUCUGACGUUAGCGGCGGACGGGUGAGUAACACGUGGAUAACCUACCUAUAAGACUGGGAUAACUUCGGGAAACCGGAGCUAAUACCGGAUAAUAUAUUGAACUGCAUGGUUCAAUAGUGAAAGACGGUUUUGCUGUCACUCAUAGAUGGAUCCGCGCCGCAUUAGCUAGUUGGUAAGGUAAAGGCUUACCAAGGCGCAGAUGCGUAGCCGACCUGAGAGGGUGAUCGGCCACCCUGGAACUGAGACACGGUCCAGACUCCUACGGGAGGCAGCAGUAGGGAAUCUUCCGCAAUGGGCGAAAGCCUGACGGAGCAACGCCGCGUAAGUGAUGAAGGUCUUCGGAUCGUAAAACUCUGUUAUUAGGGAAGAACAGAUGUGUAAGUAACUAUGCACGUCUUGACGGUACCUAAUCAGAAAGCCACGGCUAACUACGUG